rnacentral:rRNA from 1 species
GCUAAUACAUGCAAGUCGAGCGGACAGAAGGGAGCUUGCUCCCGGAUGUUAGCGGCGGACGGGUGAGUAACACGUGGGUAACCUGCCUGUAAGACUGGGAUAACUCCGGGAAACCGGAGCUAAUACCGGAUAGUUCCUUGAACCGCAUGGUUCAAGGAUGAAAGACGGUUUCGGCUGUCACUUACAGAUGGACCCGCGGCGCAUUAGCUAGUUGGUGGGGUAAUGGCUCACCAAGGCGACGAUGCGUAGCCGACCUGAGAGGGUGAUCGGCCACACUGGGACUGAGACACGGCCCAGACUCCUACGGGAGGCAGCAGUAGGGAAUCUUCCGCAAUGGACGAAAGUCUGACGGAGCAACGCCGCGUGAGUGAUGAAGGUUUUCGGAUCGUAAAGCUCUGUUGUUAGGGAAGAACAAGUGCGAGAGUAACUGCUCGCACCUUGACGGUACCUAACCAGAAAGCCACGGCUAACUACGUGCCAGCAGCCGCGGUAAUACGUAGGUGGCAAGCGUUGUCCGGAAUUAUUGGGCGUAAAGGGCUCGCAGGCGGUUUCUUAAGUCUGAUGUGAAAGCCCCCGGCUCAACCGGGGAGGGUCAUUGGAAACUGGGAAACUUGAGUGCAGAAGAGGAGAGUGGAAUUCCACGUGUAGCGGUGAAAUGCGUAGAGAUGUGGAGGAACACCAGUGGCGAAGGCGACUCUCUGGUCUGUAACUGACGCUGAGGAGCGAAAGCGUGGGGAGCGAACAGGAUUAGAUACCCUGGUAGUCCACGCCGUAAACGAUGAGUGCUAAGUGUUAGGGGGUUUCCGCCCCUUAGUGCUGCAGCUAACGCAUUAAGCACUCCGCCUGGGGAGUACGGUCGCAAGACUGAAACUCAAAGGAAUUGACGGGGGCCCGCACAAGCGGUGGAGCAUGUGGUUUAAUUCGAAGCAACGCGAAGAACCUUACCAGGUCUUGACAUCCUCUGACAACCCUAGAGAUAGGGCUUUCCCUUCGGGGACAGAGUGACAGGUGGUGCAUGGUUGUCGUCAGCUCGUGUCGUGAGAUGUUGGGUUAAGUCCCGCAACGAGCGCAACCCUUGAUCUUAGUUGCCAGCAUUCAGUUGGGCACUCUAAGGUGACUGCCGGUGACAAACCGGAGGAAAGUGGGGAUGACGUCAAAUCAUCAUGCCCC